GGGCACCCUGAUCCAGCAAUGCCGCGUGUGUGAAGAAGGCCUUCGGGUUGUAAAGCACUUUUGUCCGGAAAGAAAACCAUCGCCCUAAUAUGGUGGUGGGAUGACGGUACCGGAAGAAUAAGCACCGGCUAACUACGUGCCAGCAGCCGCGGUAAUACGUAGGGUGCGAGCGUUAAUCGGAAUUACUGGGCGUAAAGCGUGCGCAGGCGGUCUGUUAAGACCGAUGUGAAAUCCCCGGGCUUAACCUGGGAACUGCAUUGGUGACUGGCAGGCUUUGAGUGUGGCAGAGGGGGGUAGAAUUCCACGUGUAGCAGUGAAAUGCGUAGAGAUGUGGAGGAAUACCGAUGGCGAAGGCAGCCCCCUGGGCCAACACUGACGCUCAUGCACGAAAGCGUGGGGAGCAAACAGGAUUAGAUACCCUGGUAGUCCACGCCCUAAACGAUGUCAACUAGUUGUUGGGGAUUCAUUUCCUUAGUAACGUAGCUAACGCGUGAAGUUGACCGCCUGGGGAGUACGGUCGCAAGAUUAAAACUCAAAGGAAUUGACGGGGACCCGCACAAGCGGUGGAUGAUGUGGAUUAAUUCGAUGCAACGCGAAAAACCUUACCUACCCUUGACAUGGUCGGAAUCCCGCUGAGA
rnacentral:rRNA from 1 species